AUUGAACGCUGGCGGCAUGCCUUACACAUGCAAGUCGAACGGUAACGGGCCUUCGGGUGCCGACGAGUGGCGAACGGGUGAGUAAUGCAUCGGAACGUACCUUUCAGUGGGGGAUAACGUAGCGAAAGUUACGCUAAUACCGCAUAUUCUGUGAGCAGGAAAGCAGGGGAUCGCAAGACCUUGCGCUGAUUGAGCGGCCGAUGUCAGAUUAGCUAGUUGGUGAGGUAAAGGCUCACCAAGGCGACGAUCUGUAGCGGGUCUGAGAGGAUGAUCCGCCACACUGGAACUGAGACACGGUCCAGACUCCUACGGGAGGCAGCAGUGGGGAAUUUUGGACAAAUGGGGGGCAACCCUGAUCCAGCCAUGCCGCGUGAGUGAAGAAGGCCUCGGUUGUAA
rnacentral:rRNA from 1 species